UUUCCGUAGGUGAACCUGCGGAAGGAUCAUUAUUGAGAAGUUGGGUCUCUGACCCUCUCUCCGUUCUCUGUCAUAAGCACUCCGGGCGCGUCGCAAGACGUGGAUCGGAGGGAAAUCGUUUCGGUGGAGGCGUUGUCCGGUGAAGGUCGCCGGAUGACCGCCACCGUUAUUUUUUGCAAGCACGCUGUGGAAGAUGAAGUCUGAAUUAUGUCAAUGAAACAAAACUUUCAACAACGGAUCUCUUGGCUCUGGCAUCGAUGAAGAACGCAGC
rnacentral:misc_RNA from 1 species